GAUGAACGCUGGCGGCGUGCCUAAUACAUGCAAGUCGAGCGAACAGACGAGAAGCUUGCUCCUCUGACGUUAGCGGCGGACGGGUGAGUAACACGUGGAUAACCUACCUAUAAGACUGGGAUAACUUCGGGAAACCGGAGCUAAUACCGGAUAAUAUAUUGAACCGCAUGGUUCAAUAGUGAAAGACGGUUUUGCUGUCACUUAUAGAUGGAUCCGCGCCGCAUUAGCUAGUUGGUAAGGUAACGGCUUACCAAGGCAACGAUGCGUAGCCGACCUGAGAGGGGGAUCGGCCACAUUGGAACUGAGACACGGUCCAGACCCCUACGGGAGGCAGCAGUAGGGAAUCUUCCGCAAUGGGCGAAAGCCUGACGGAGCAACGCCGCGUGAGUGAUGAAGGUCUUCGGAUCGUAAAACUCUGUUAUUAGGGAAGAACAAAUGUGUAAGUAACUGUGCACGUCUUGACGGUACCUAAUCAGAAAGCCACGGCUAACUACGUG
rnacentral:rRNA from 1 species